CCAUUUUGCAAGACAAGAAAAAGUGCAAGCAAGAGUGAGUGGUCCUAAAAGAAAAGGCAAUCACUACAUAUUUGAACAACAAACCCUCCAUUCCCCCCAUUAUAUAAAGAGGCUGCAAAUAUUAGUUUCUCAUGCACCACUGCAAAUCUCUCUCUUAGCCCUCCUCAGACACAAAGAGAGUUUAUUAUAUUUAAGAAGAUGGUUUCAAGGUUGGAAGAAGCAAUGAAAAUGAGGCAGCUCAAGGAAUUUAAGGGCGGACGAGAGAGUAAUCAUCAGCAAAAGCAAAUACAAUGCAAGAAAGGGAAAGAUAACAAGUUCAAGAGGAGCAGUUUCAAUCUUGAAGAUGGAGCUUCUUCUGCUAUUCUUUUUCUCGCUUGCAUUGCAUUCGCGUCGUCUCCCUUAUAGAUUAAAUGUGGCCAUUAAUUUACCUAGCUAGUGUUUACUAUUUCAUGAGGAUUAUGUAGAAACUAUAUUUCAAUGUUUUGAAAUGUUAUCUGUAAUUCUAGCAAGAAAGUAGAUUUGUAAUUUGCUAAUACAAUGAAUAGUUAGCAAAGUUGUUACGUUUUUGUUGGGAUUCUCUAUUGGUUUCGUAACAUGUUCGGCUUCUCCUUCAUUUGAGAAAGUUCAUGUUGAAAUCAAUUUUUGUUUGAACAUUAGAUCAACCGAAUAACUUAUGCGAACUUUGUAGGCUAUUCUAGGUCAAAGUAUAUGUGACGGCUAAAGUUCUACAAGAUCUCAAAUGAUAUUGAGC
rnacentral:lncRNA from 1 species